CAGUAAAUAGUUUAAAAAAUAUUAAUUUUGGGGAUUAAAGAUAAGCUUAUAGGCUUUUUACUGA
rnacentral:tRNA from 1 species